rfam:Parastrongyloides trichosuri strain KNP genome assembly, scaffold: PTRK_scaffold0000010
AUAGAUAUGGAGAUAUGGCUCCUUCAACAUUUCUUGGUAAAUUAGUAGGUAGUUUAUGUGCUAUAAUGGGUGUUUUAACGAUAGCACUUCCUGUUCCUGUAAUUGUAUCUAAC